rnacentral:rRNA from 1 species
GAUGAACGCUGGCGGCGUGCCUAAUACAUGCAAGUCGAGCGAAGCGGGGACGGGUGCGUACCACGUGGAUAACAUACUAUAAGACUGGGAUAACUUCGGGAAACCAGAGCUAGACCGGAUACUUAAAGAUGGAUCCGCGAUGAAUUAGCUAGUUGGUAGGGUAAGGGCUUACAAAGGCAACUAUGCAUAGCCGACCUGAGAGGGUGAGCGGCAAAACUGGAACGGCGACACGGUCCAGACGCCUACGGGAGGCAGAAGUAGGGAAUCUUCCGCAAUGGGCGAAAGCCUGACGGAGCAACGCCGCGUGAGUGAGGAAGGUCUUCGGAUCGUAAAACUCUGUUAUUAGGGAAGCGGUACCUAACCAGAAAGCCACGGCUAACUACGUGCCAGCAGCCGCGGUAAUAC